GACGAACGUUGGCGGCGUGCUUAAUACAUGCAAGUCCACUGAAGCAGUGGUAGCAAUAUCGCUGUGGAGGUGGCGCACGGGUGAGUAACACGUAGGUAAUCUGCCUUCAGGUCUGGCAUAACUCCGUGAAACCGGGGCUAAUAGCAGAUGAUGCAGCGGCUCGACAUCGAGACAGUUGUUAAAGCUAUGGCGCCUGAAGAUGAGCCUGCGUCUGAUUAGCUAGUUGGCGGGGUAACGGCCCACCAAGGCAACGAUCAGUAGCUGGUCUGAGAGGAUGAUCAGCCACACUGGAACUGAGACACGGUCCAGACUCCUACGGGAGGCAGCAGUAAGGAAUAUUGCUCAAUGGGAGAAAUCCUGAAGCAGCAACGCCGCGUGAGGGACGAAGGGCUUUUGCUUGUAAACCUCUGUAGUGAGAGAAAAAAAUCCCAAUCUUUGGGACAUGAUGGUAUCUCAAAAGUAAGCCCCAGCUAACUACGUG
rnacentral:rRNA from 1 species